ACGUCCAACAUCAAUCAGCAUAUAAUUAAUACGCAACUUCAUAAGCUGGAAAAGCUUUAUACCUACAAAUAUGUGUUCUGCCACUGCUAGAGCAUGUGUUGCUAUUGCGUUUCUUGCCGUCUUGAUAAACGUUGUGACGGCGCAAUCUGCAUCACGAACUUCACAAGGAACUACAACAAAUCCUUGGUUGGAUUUAAUGAACGCGUACAGGACGUACAUGAUGCAAUAUGGAAUGUUUGGCAGAGGAUAUUACGGAAUGUUUGGGUUCUUUGAUGACUAGAGGGAAGAAGACCUAUCUUUCAAAUAUGGGAUGACGAAAUACUUCACAUAUCCAAGGCUAUUUCGUUGUAAUUGUCUUUAAUCUACUUUGUUGAACGUGUUAUGUAAUACUAAGAUAUCAAUUAAAACGUUCUUUUUUU